rnacentral:lncRNA from 1 species
UGUUGUAUCUAUGAAUAUAUUGAUUAUCUUAUACAUUAUAUAUGUUUACGUACGAAAUGAAUUCCAAUACAAAGUAUCAUGUUUGAUGAUUGUUAACCCUGAUAAACAAAACAUAUGAUAUAACUGUUUAUAUAAGGAUGGGGAAAAAAUGAAAUAUCAUAUAGAAACUGAACCUUUUAUUAAAUAUUUUGAAAUAUGAUGCACAGGUUGAAUAAUUUAUAGCUACCCACA